AUUGAACGCUGGCGGCAUGCUUUACACAUGCAAGUCGAACGGUAACAGGUUAAGCUGACGAGUGGCGAACGGGUGAGUAAUGCAUCGGAACGUGCCCGAUCGUGGGGGAUAACGCAGCGAAAGCUGCGCUAAUACCGCAUACGAUCUGAGGAUGGAAGCGGGGGACCGUAAGGCCUCGCGCGAUCGGAGCGGCCGAUGUCAGAUUAGGUAGUGGGUGGGGUAAAGGCUCACCAAGCCAACGAUCUGUAGCUGGUCUGAGAGGACGACCAGCCACACUGGGACUGAGACACGGCCCAGACUCCUACGGGAGGCAGCAGUGGGGAAUUUUGGACAAUGGGCGAAAGCCUGAUCCAGCAAUGCCGCGUGCAGGAAGAAGGCCUUCGGGUUGUAAACUGCUUUUGUACGGAGCGAAAAGGCUCUCUCUAAUACAGGGGGCUCAUGACGGUACCGUAAGAAUAAGCACCGGCUAACUACGUGCCAGCCGCCGCAGUAA
rnacentral:rRNA from 1 species